AAAUAAGUAUGUAUUUCGCAAUCAUCGCAAUCGUCAUAUUUGUAAGAAACAUUCGAUAAAGAAUAAGAAAAAGUGAUUUUAAGAAAUGUGUGCAGAAUAGGCUUACAAUUUCUAAGAAACAUUUCGAAAAUAUUAACAAAAAGGAUGCUAUAUGCAUUAAUUGUAAAUGUGAAUAUGCUAUGUGAAUGUGAUAAAGUUUAGCGGUAAUACCUCAAACUUGCAUAAGCAUGCAAAGCGUUAUAACAUUGGCAUUGAAAUUUCAAAUACAAUUACAUCAAGCGAAAAUAUCCCGAGCGAUAGUUCAAAAACCAGCACACAAAAGACCAGUUUAGUAUUUCCACCAAAGCACCCCGCUCCAAUCGCACCAAAGCAAAUUUUUUCUGCAUUUUGUGAUCUUAUUGUGAAUUUAAUCAAAACUUCAAUAUAUAGAAGGUGGUUCUAAACGCGCUGAUAUAUCCAACAACGUUUUAUAUUUUUUAUGCCGAGACAUGAAUCCUUCCAUGUAGUUUCAGAUAAGAAAUAGUGUCAUCAAUUCGGAUGGAUUUCGACUCGCACAGAUCGAAGCAGGCGUUGCUGCAGAUGCAACAAAAAAGCGGUAUGUCCGAAGAUGAUUUUUUAACUAGCAAUUACAUAAAGCAAAAUCCAUUCAACAUAACCUGCACGAGGCAGUAAAAAAUAAAUAUAUACUCACGCAUUUUUUUUUAAUUUAAAGUGAAAACAAGUUUGAAGAUUCUGCUGCAGGACAACGCUUGACCUCACGUUGACAAACAAUCAGUUAUUGCACCGUCCGAUUAUUAUUUGUUUCGUUCGAUGGCACAUCUGGUCUGGCUUAGGAGCAAUUCCACUCACUAGACGACAUAGAAAAAUGGGUUGAUUCUUGGAUGGAUAACCAGGAUAGGUGAACAGUUUUACCGUAAUGGUAUUGGAUCUUUUCCAGAAAGCUGUUUCUCUUCACUAUGCGCGGCUUUCACUUAAUACGCUUGAUUUUGUACUUUGCUCUCAUCGUAGUUCAGCAACAAUACAGCCAUUGGCUUUUGUGGUAUUUAUCGGAGCUUGUAUCUGUAGAGAAUAACUUAAAUACAGGUGUGUAUGCAUAUGAUGACGGUGCAAAAAUUCCAUGUGUUCAUUGUGACUUUGCAGUUUAUUGCAUGAUAAAGCGGAUAUAUGUACAUAUGUUUAUCUAGAGAGCGAGAUUUAUACUGUUGUAUGUAUGUAACUAUAUAAUGUUUAUGUUUUUGCAAUCAAAAUAAAAAUUUUCCAAUAAC